rnacentral:rRNA from 1 species
AUUGAACGCUGGCGGAAUGCUUUACACAUGCAAGUCGAACGGUAGAGGGGGCAACCCCUCGAGAGUGGCGAACGGGUGAGUAAUAUAUCGGAACGUGCCCAGUCGUGGGGGAUAACGUAGCGAAAGUUACGCUAAUACCGCAUACGAUCUAAGGAUGAGAGCGGGGGAUCGCAAGACCUCGCGCGAUUGGAGCGGCCGAUAUCAGAGUAGGUAGUUGGUGGGGGAAAGGCUCACCAAGCCAACGAUCCGUAGCUGGUCUGAGAGGACGACCCGCCACACUGGAACUGAGACACGGGCCAAACUCCUACGGUAGGCAGCAGUGGGGAAUUUUGGACAAUGGACGCAAGUCUGAUCCAGCCAUUCCGCGUGCAGGAUGAAGGCCCUCGGGUUGUAAACUGCUUUUGUACGGAACGAAAAGGUCUCUCUUAAUACGGGGGGCUCAUGACGGUACCGUAAGAAUAAGCACCGGCUAACUACGUGCCAGCCGCCGCCGUAA